GGUGGCGAGUGGCGAACGGGUGAGUAAUAUAUCGGAACGUACCCUGGAGUGGGGGAUAACGUAGCGAAAGUUACGCUAAUACCGCAUACGAUCUAAGGAUGAAAGUGGGGGAUCGCAGACCUCAUGCUCCUGGAGCGGCCGAUAUCUGAUUAGCUAGUUGGUGGGGUAAAGGCCCACCAAGGCUUCGAUCAGUAGCUGGUCUGAGAGGACGCCAGCCACACUG
rnacentral:rRNA from 1 species